rnacentral:lncRNA from 1 species
CAGGAGCCCGCCCGCCACUUCGAGGGACACGCUGCGGGCCUCUCAGAUCCCGGCGGGGCGAGGAGGGCCGCGCGGCUGCCGUUCUAGCGUCCGCACCGUCGACGCUGAGCGCGCGGUCAGAAACCCGGGUCUGCGGACUAGAGAUAGCUUUUCCUGGCCGGGCGCGGUGGCUCACACCUGUAAUCCCAGCACUUUCGGAGGCCGAGGCGAGCAGAUCACGAGGUCGGGAGAUAGAGACCAUCCUGGCUAACACAGUGAAACCCCGUCUCUACUAAAAAUACAAAAAAUUAGCUGGGCGUGGUGGCGGGCGCCUGUCGUCCCAGCUACUCGGGAGACUGAGGCAGGAGAAUGGUGUGAACCCGGGAGGCGGAGCUUGCAGUGAGCCGAGAUCACGCCACUGCACUCCAGCCUGGGCGACAGAG